UACAGAGGUCUCAAGCGUUGUUCGGAUUCAUUGGGCGUAAAGGGUGUGUAGGUGGCGCCGUAAGUGGGGUGUGAAAUUUCGAGGCUUAACCUCGAAACUACAUUCCAUACUGCGGUGCUUGAGGACUGGAGAGGAGACUGGAAUUUACGGUGUAGCGGUGAAAUGCGUAGAUAUCGUAAGGAAGACCAGUGGCGAAGGCGGGUCUCUGGACAGUUCCUGACGCUGAGGCACGAAGGCCAGGGGAGCAAACGGG
rnacentral:rRNA from 1 species